ensembl:lncRNA
GCCUCUCACAAUGCGUCAUGGUCGAAAACCCACCCUUUCCUUUCGUUGCUACGGACUACAGAGGUACGUGGUUUCAGCUUUGUUGCUUAGUUGUGUGAUGUUAGCGUUGUCCAUUUACCAUGCGAUUUACUUGUUUAGUGUGACGCUGGGCUAUCGAGACUGUGUGCAGGUGUGAUGUGCUGCCCAAUCUCAGUGCGCUGUGCCGUCAAGGCUCCCAACUGUGUAGCAUGCUAGUUUAACGUAGCUCCGGUCGGAGCUCCAGCUGUCGUCGUCACAACUAUUAAAGACGCUAUCAUGACUUUCGUAUGUACCAUCGUGAGUAUCAUGUCAUCGGAUCACGGUUAAAAUGUUAGCCAAUCAAUGGGAAAGGCGAGAGGUCAGGGGAGGAGGCAAAUCCUGCGUAAGGAAAAGUCACGCUCUCUUUCGGCUGCAGGCGAGACACGGAGAAGAUCACACUGGAGAACUGUAAAGUGAUUAAUGCUACUUUUCGUGCUUAAGUAAUACUUAAUGGUUUUCAGACCGAUAACCUAUUCACUACUUUGCAUGCGGAAGAAGUUGGUAUCACAUAGAGACAUUUUCAAAAUGAAUUUGUCGGAAUAGCUCAGCUAAUAGUAUUGCCUGAAAAGUUAGCAACUCGGUAGCUGGGACUGUGUUAGGCUAACUGACUUCGUCAACCAAUGAGUUGCCUCUGAGGAACAAGACUGUGGGACUAACCGGAGGAAGACGGCCUGCUGUUUGAACUGAUACGCGAACUACAGCAUCGCGUGAGCAACUGCACACACCGAGAGCGCACGAGCAGGGCUGCAGUGACGGUGCAUGGACCCUCUCUGGGCACGGACAUCCCCAUCAACCUUGUGAGUGAAUUUGUUUGGUUUUGUUGUGCGAUUCGCAUGAAGUGGCCAAUACAGUUUUAAGGCCUCAACGUCCCCAAGCUAUGAAGCCUCAUACAAUACC